rnacentral:lncRNA from 1 species
UGAUUGCAUCAUCUUUCUACUGGACAUUUUUAGCGACUCUGCUUUUUCCAUCCUGAUAGUUAUGAUGCAACACUGAGAGUCACUUAUUUUUUAUUCGCAGUUUUGUGACGCGACUGUGAUUGUGAAAUUGCUAACCAUAGAUGGGCAUUUGAUUAAGUGAUUAGCACACACACACACCCACCCCCAGCACCAGAAAAGCAGCUGGUGACUACAAAUACAGGACAUUUUGCAGGACAGCACGUCGCUCUCUAACAGGAGUUUUCAGAAGAAUGGAUGUGGGACACUACGUCAACUCACCAGCUGCUGAAGGGAGAAACAGUCCGGAGAAGAGAGAAAAAUCCACCUCAGGCUUGUCACGGGUCUUCCGGGUGGCUGUAGUCGGCUUCGGCCUGCUGUGCAUCAUACACUCAGCUAUCAACAUCUGUCUUCGGAUCCAAGGAUUUGAGUUUUGUAACAAGUCUGAGCUCAACCACUCGGCCAAUGUCACCCUGAUGUCACCUGCUGACGUCAGCACCCUGCUGCUGGAGAACGAGCGACUGGCGGAGGGAAACAUCAACCUGAUCAGAUAUAAUAAGAUAUUAAAGGACCAACUGAGCCAACGACAAGAUCACAUACAGGAAAUUCAAAAUGCAAAAGACAGGCUGGAAAAGAGGCUUGUUGAAUGUGAACUAAAACCCCAGUGCUGUCCUCUGGGAUGGACGCCAUACAAGUCCAGCUGUUACCAGCUCUCCACUGAGAGACAGAGCUGGGCAUACGCAAAACAAGACUGUGAGGCAAAGGACAGUCAUCUGGUGAUCAUUGAUGAUGAAACAGAAAUGGAAAUUGUCCUUUCUUCGGGAUCUUAUAUGAUUUGGAUCGGCUUGAGGGCCAAACGAGAGCGUGGAAGGAGGAUGUGGACCUGGCUGGACGGAAUCCCGCUGAGUGACGCGAUUCAGCUGCGUGAAAUGAAACCACAUCCUUACUGUGCCUAUUUGGGAAAAUUCCCAUCUGGAGAAUCGACCUGGGAUGCUACUGACUGUACGGACCAAAACCAUUGGAUGUGUGAGAAGGAACUGAAGUGACACACCUGAAACCUGAGUAACAUUCACAUAACAACCAUUAAGACGAUUCCCUGUCCCCUAAAGUCGCUCCUACACACUAAGACGCAAAAUAUACAUGAUAGUGGACAUGUGAUUUGUAUUCUUUGUUGACUUUAAUGAGUUUUUCAUUAGAAUAUGCCUCUGCUGAAUAUAAAUCAUGACUUGUGUGUGAUUUCAUACAUUUAAAGGUAAAUCGGUCAAUUGACAAAGUUGUUGUUGUGGUUCCUGAGACAAAAACCUUUUCUGUGAUGUUGUGUGCUUUGACUCGAACUACUGAGGAAAUGUUGACUGAUCUUGAUCAUCUUUUAAAAUAAAUCAUUUCUGG